AUUGAACGCUGGCGGCAUGCUUUACACAUGCAAGUCGAACGGUAACAGGCCGCAAGGUGCUGACGAGUGGCGGACGGGUGAGUAAUGCAUCGGAACGUGCCCAGUCGUGGGGGAUAACGCAGCGAAAGCUGUGCUAAUACCGCAUACGAUCUGUGGAUGAAAGCGGGGGACCGUAAGGCCUCGCGCGAUUGGAGCGGCCGAUGUCAGAUUAGGUAGUUGGUGGGGUAAAGGCUCACCAAGCCGACGAUCUGUAGCUGGUCUGAGAGGACGACCAGCCACACUGGGACUGAGACACGGCCCAGACUCCUACGGGAGGCAGCAGUGGGGAAUUUUGGACAAUGGGCGCAAGCCUGAUCCAGCAAUGCCGCGUGCAGGAAGAAGGCCUUCGGGUUGUAAAGCACUUUCAGUAGGGAGGAAGGGUUAAGUGUUAAUAGUACUUAACUUUGACGUUACCUACAGAAGAAGCACCGGCUAACUCUGUGCCAGCCGCCGCUGUAAAAC
rnacentral:rRNA from 1 species